rnacentral:rRNA from 1 species
UACGUAGGGUGCAAGCGUUGUCCGGAAUUAUUGGGCGUAAAGAGCUUGUAGGCGGUUUGUCGCGUCUGCUGUGAAAACUCGGGGCUUAACUCCGGGCCUGCAGUGGGUACGGGCAGACUAGAGUGCGGUAGGGGAGACUGGAAUUCCUGGUGUAGCGGUGAAAUGCGCAGAUAUCAGGAGGAACACCGGUGGCGAAGGCGGGUCUCUGGGCCGUAACUGACGCUGAGGAGCGAAAGCAUGGGGAGCGAACAGG